GGUUGAGGAAGGAAGAGAAGGAAGCAUGUGUACAGCUGUGAGGAGGAGGCUCCGUGUGGGCGAGGAGGCCCCGGGGGCCAGCUGCUGGCUAGCCCAGUUUUCCUGUUGCAGGAGACUGCCUCCUUCUAGGGGUGGCGGUGACACCAGAGGGAGAUCUGCGUUGCCACCUGGAAUUCCCGGAUUCUCCAGCAGUAUGGGGCGCUGGGUAUGGACUGGGAGGGACCGCAUAAGAAUGUGGAUGUGAAGGCCGGAGCUGGAGCAGCCAUCUUAGACCUCAGGAUGGAAGCCACAUGCUGAGGAUGGCAGAGUGACAAAGGGAAGCAAAGCCGCUCAGUCCUUCAGGCAGAGCAGGAGAGGCAGUGGCUUUCUGAGGACGCUGGGAGCAGCUGUAAUGGUCUGGGUACC